GCCUCCUUAAAUAGUGGGAAGCAGAGCAGUUUAAUGCCAACAGAGGCUGCACUAGCUUCCCCUUUCUGUGAGAAACCUCCGUUUAGAGGGUUCCCAAAGUGAAAGUGUAAGAGAAAACAUAGCUGGGAGAGACUUACAUCCAAGUCUGGCAAGUGGAGUUGUGGAGCAUCACUCCAAAGCUAGAGACAUGUUUUGGGGAGAUAAAAGAAAAUGAAAGAUCUUGAUUGCUAAGCUGAGAGAGAACUGACCAGUAGUCUAUCAAAUCAAAGGCUAAAAUCCAAGACUGAUUCUGUUCAUACAGCUACAUAUCUGAAGUAUGGACUUUGUUAGAGCUACAUCUAACUAAAGCCAACAGAAUUAAGAGGAAAGUCACACUCUGCGUCCUAAUUGCUUUUGUUAUUAAAAGAAAAAUAGACAACAUUUUUGUUUGUUGCAUGCUUUUUCAAAUCAUUCUGCUAGAGUCAAGGAACUGGCAUGCUGUAGUGCAGGCGGCUGCCCUGGGAUCAAGGAACACCAGACAGAGGUUAUAGUAAAGCUGCUUGCAUUAGGAUGGCGGCAGAGGAAACUGUAUAGAAAAUGCAGUCCAGGAAACAGUUCUUAGAAGAUGGAGUAGGGAUUAAGUGAGAACCUAUUUUACUAUUUGCUAAAAAGCUCAGUACAUUUGCCUUCAUGGACUCUGCAUUCCAGAGGACUGCAUGCUGGGUUAAUAAAAUCCCUCUCCUGAAAGCCUUUGGAAACUCAGAUGGUCACUGACUGCCCAUAUGGCAGAAUUUGGCUAUUGCUAUUAGACAGCUGCAGGAAGUUGAAGAUAAGAAAGGGGAGACAGCACCAAAACCUUAUGGACACACAGAUACACAGAGAGACACGCGGCUUUGCCUCAUGGCAGGAGCUUCCAAAACAUGUUUCUCAUCAAAAUGCCAGCAUCCUCAUUUUUUUUUUCUUUUUCUUUUUCUUUUUCUUUUUCUUUUUCUUUUUCUUUUUCUUUUUCUUUUUCUUUUUCUUUUUCUUUUUCUUUUUCUUUUUCUUUUAGGAACUGCAAUUUGCACUUCUCCUUUUCUCCUUUUCUUAGGUGAUGUGUAUGUGAUUUAAACCCUCAGACAUUCUGGGCUUAAGUUCCAAGUGCAUUUUAAAACAAUGAGCACACCUACCAGCAACACAGAAAAACACCACAUUUCCGUUGCUCAGGCUUAAAGGGAGGCUCAGUUUAGCAUUCUUCCUUGGGGAAGAAAUGACAUGUUCCCCACUAACUCAAUGCCAAACCACUGCUCUCUGAUUUGAGUAACAAAUGCCAUUCCUACUGCGUCUAAAAGACCAAGCUCUGUUUCUUUUCUUAACAUGAAAUUGUGUAUUUUGGUACUGCUCUCAGACAACAGUUUAACAGAACAAAGAAGUUAUCUUUAUGAGACAGCCAGGGAAAUACACAAAGAACAGGAAGAUGCAGCUAACCUAAAUAAUGACAAUGAAAAUAAAAUAACCAUCAGGCUAUAAAUAAACAAUAUGAAGUAAAUAUCAUUAUUUUUAUUAACAGGAGACACAGACUUAAUUCCUGGGGACAAUUAUAUCCACUGUUUCCUCAGACUUCAGUUUUGGUUUCUUUCAGUCAAGCCACAGAAAAAUGUUUUCUACUUUGUUCAACUUUUUACAGUAUGAACUUCCACACUACUUUUGCUGGAGAAUACUGCACAGAACAGACACUUAUGUUUAGGAGAAAGGUCAGAUUUUUCUAAAACAAUAAAAUUGCCCAACCGUGCAAAAUUUUGAACUGCGCAAAUGCAUGCAUUCAUACAGAGCAGGGAAGUAAACAUACACACCACUGCAUUAAUUAAGACAAUACUUAGUUUCCUGCAACACAAAGGAAUUUUCUUAUUUAGAUUAGUUCUCUGAUGAUGCAGGCUCCCAUUGUGUGUAUGGGGGUGUGCGAAGCAGCAACUGCAGUUCCACAAAAAGGCAAGGGCUGGACCUGACCCAGUGGGUGAGUGGGGAAGGAAUCAAAUAAUCGCCUAAUCCAGAGCCAGGACCAGUUUUCUGGGAGCCAGCCUCAGUCACUCCAGCCCUCUGUCUUCCCUAAAGGACCUGAGCAGAAGCCUGGCGCACAUGCUGUGUGCCUGGGGAUUGUCUUGUUGGGAUUCCCGGGCGGGAAACGGGCUCAAUCUGUCAUUUACACAGUUUAAAACAAGCACUUGAAUUUUCCACUCCUGGCCACAACCAGCAGUGCCGGGCUGAAUUACUUUCCCAGCUGGAGGCAAGAAACGUGUGAGAGCAGAGUGCUUACCAAGUGGCCGAGCAACUGGGCAGCCUUGAAGCACACAACUCAACCCGCGCACAACAUCCCCGAACCUCGGCCUUUACCUGCUGCUGGGUGGCUAAUAGCUCCAUAGAACUUUCAAAUACUCCGAAAAGACCAGUUUGAUGAGAAAUAAUAUUCUGAAGAUUUUUUUUUUUUUUUUUUGGCAACUGGUAAGGCAAAAAUUACAAGAAGAGAAGCUGUGGGGAGUUUGCAGACAGUGACCCCAUGAUCAGUGACACAAUGGCCCCAUGGCAGCAUUUGAGCAAUUACCUGCACAACCAAUCUGACAAUGUUAGAAAGACAAUCCCAAUGUGCAGCAGGGAAUAUAGAUAUAGUCAUUGAAGUUGCUUUUAGCAGAUGUUCCUUACUGAAAUCCACUGAUAGCUGCUGUGGAGCAGAAUAUUAAUGGAACA